rnacentral:rRNA from 1 species
GAAAGGUAGCAUAAUCAAUAGUCUCUUAAUUGGAGUCUGGAAUGAAUGGUCGGAUGAAAUAUAAUUUGUCUGCGAAUAUAGUGUUGAAUUUUACUUUUCCGUGAAAAGGCUUAAAUAAAUUCAAGGGACGAUAAGACCCUGUGAAGCCUUAUUUUUAUUAUAUUUUAAUAUUUGAUAGUUGUGUGAUUAAAUUUGAGUUUAGUAAAAAUUAAAUUGGGGCGAUUGGAAUAUAUUAUUAACUGUUUUUAAUAGUAAAAUAAAUAAUUUUUAGGUGUUGAUCUUGUAUUACGGAUUAUAAGAUUAAAGUUACUCCAGGGAUA